UGCAACAUAAAUAUAUGCACUUGAUCAACGUAGCGUCAAGAACUCCGAGUUCACUAAGAAUACGGAAGAACAACUCUUAAUCUAAAAGGCUUGGUGAAGAUGUCCAUUGAUUGAAUACUCAAUUUUGACAUCGCCUUCGAGAACGUGAUCUAUUUGAACAUGGACAUGAUGAAUAUCAAUACUUACUAAACAUUACAUCAAUUCUACUAGCAGUAGGGUAGAGUAAGGAACGAUCAUACCCGGUUUAUUUUGAUGUCAUCCUCCAUUUGACAUCACAAUUUGCUAGUUAUUGAAUUAGACUUCAUGCUAGCACAUUAGUGGCUCCAAAAUAAUUUUAUCAAAUAAAAAUAUCUUCAAUAAUAUCAACACACAAUUUAUGCGAAAUUCACACCAAAAAUAUUAUCACC
rnacentral:lncRNA from 1 species